AUGUUCAUCUACAAGUGAUUACAAAAAAGAAUUCUUUUUUGAGGAAAGUCUGGGCUCCCAUAAAUGAGAAUUGGUGAAUAUCCAAUCCAAGUUAAAAAUUGGAAGGAGAGUGCCACAGAAAUAUUUUUUUGCAAAUAAAGUAUACCCUUCUCAGGAGUAAACUCUUUAACGUCUGACAAUAUCUAAUUCUAAGUUAAGACGCAAAGAAAAAGUGCUAGAAAGAAAAAGAAAUUUUUCUUCAAGAUAAAUAAUCACUGAAAGUAUAGACUAAGGUCCAAAAUUUUUGAUACAGUGGAAAAUCCUAAUGUUUAAAAGAGCUCAUUUCAUCGAUCUCGUUUAAAAAAUAAACAAAAAAAGAAAUCUUUCCAUUAAAACACAACAAACUAUGGCCUGAAAUCUUUCUUUUAACAAAACCCAGCUUACAAUGAACAAAGUU
rnacentral:misc_RNA from 1 species